rnacentral:rRNA from 1 species
UAGCGGUGAAAUGCGUAGAUAUAUGGAAGAACACCAGUGGCGAAGGCGGCUGUCUGGUCUGUAACUGACGCUGAGGCUCGAAAGCAUGGGUAGCGAACASGAUUAGAUACCCUGGUAGUCCAYGCCGUAAACGAUGAAUGCUAGGUGUUGGAGGGUUUCCGCCCUUCAGUGCCGCAGCUAACGCAYUAAGCAUUCCGCCUGGGGAGUACGACCGCAAGGUUGAAACUCAAAGGAAUUGACGGGGGCCCGCACAAGCGGUGGAGCAUGUGGUUUAAUUYGAAGCAACGCGAAGAACCUUACCAGGUCUUGACAUCUUUUGAUCACCUGAGAGAUCRGGUUUCCCCUUCGGGGGCAAAAUGACAGGUGGUGCAUGGUUGUCGUCAGCUCGUGUCGUGAGAUGUUGGGUUAAGUCCCGCAACGAGCGCAACCCUUAUGACUAGUUGCCAGCAYUUAGUUGGGCACUCUAGUAAGACUGCCGGUGACAAACCGGAGGAAGGUGGGGAUGACGUCAAAUCAUCAUGCCCCYUAUGACCUGGGSUACACACGUGCUACAAUGGAUGGUACAACGAGUUGCGAGACCGCGAGGUCAAGCUAAUCUCUUAAARCCAUUCUCAGUUCGGACUGUAGGSUGCAACUCGCCUACACGAAGUCGGAAUCGCUAGUAAUCGCGGAUCAGCACGCCGCGGKGAAUACGUUCCCGGGCCUUGUACACACCGCCCGUCMCACCAYGAGAGUUUGUAACACCCGAAGCCGGUGGCGUAACCCUUUAGGGAGCSAGCC